rnacentral:snRNA from 1 species
GGAUGCAAAGGCGAUCUGGCUGCAGUAUCUGUCACCCCAUUGAUCACCAGGGUUGAUUUGGCUGGCUAGGCAUGUGUCCCCUUUCUCCCUCACCACUCCACGUGCAUCCCUCCCAAAGCUGCUCACCCUGUCAAAGAGGACAACUUUCCCCGAAUAGAGGAGGAUCAGACUUGGGUGUACAAGUAGCUGUACUCCCCUGCCAGAACCUCCAAACAAGCUCUCAAAUAAAUAAAGUCUAUGUAAAAUUAAAUCUAUAUGUAAAGUUUGUGUUGUUCUUUUUGUUUUUU